rnacentral:rRNA from 1 species
GACAGAGGCCUCAAGCGUUAGGCGGAAUCACUGGGCUUAAAGCGUGUGUAGGCGGAUCGUUAAGUGUCUUGUGAAAUCCCACGGCUCACCCGUGGAACUGCUGGGCAUACUGGCGAUCUUGGGCCAACUAGGGGCAACUGGAACAAGCGGUGGAGCGGUGAAAUGCGUAGAUAUCAUUUGGAACGCCAAUGGUGAAAACAGCUCGCUGGGGGUUUGCUGACGCUGAGACACGAAAGCCAGGGGAGCAAACGGG